GCCAACCAUAGUCUAAUAUCGUCUUCUGCAGAAAAAUUUGAGAUUGUGUAGCAGCUUCCCUGUUGGAUGCGGCAGAUUGUCUGUAUACAUUUCAGUUUGGCUUCAGACUUGGAUAAAGACAACACUGCUUGCUUUACUGGAUGAAUUACACAGGGAACUAGACAGGCAGCAUAUGUCCUAGUUGGCUGGUCACGGUACAUCCACACGGACACUGUAAUACAGCUUGGCCCCAGUUCGGGAAGAAGUGAUUUCGUUAUGCAAGUGAUUAGCUUGAUAGGUACGGAUCUAGUUUUAGGACAAGUGGGUGAUUAUAUUAAAGACAGAACCUUGCCUCAACAUUCUGUCAUCCCUACUUUCCCUUAGGUAUACCAGAGAACUUUGAAGAACAUAGGCCCAUUGAGAUCAGGCAAGCUCCCACUCUGUUAGCUUUUAAAAAAGACUUAAAAACAUGGCUCUUCCGCUGUGCUUUUGGUACAUUCAGUAGGAACACAAGAGAUGGACUUCUCAGUGGUCGCUCCUGGCUCUGGAACUCCUUUCUCACACAGGUAGAAGAGAAAGUGGGCUCACAUCGUAUAGUCUGGGUGUAUAGAGUGACUCCACUUGCUGCUGACAGGUUCACGACGAAUGGAGCUGGAAUGAUUGCAACCUGACGGCACCAUUGUGUAAAGGUCAGGCAGAAAUAGGAAGAACACCUACUGCAUUAAGAGCAUCUGUGGGCUGGCCUCAGAUGUUUUAAAAAUGAUCAUGCUAAAACUAAUUAAGAAUUCAAAGCAUUUCCAAAAUACAAUAGAUAGCAUGUAUCUACACAGAUCCAGAGUCAGCUAACAAGUACAUGGCAAAUAAUAUACACAAUAAUUAAUUAUAAAAUAUUGAUUUCUUCUUUCUUACACAAGAUACUUUUAUGUAAUGUGAACAGAAGACACCUACUCAAUUUUCAAAUGCUGAAGUGUUUCUGAGAGUUAUUUUAAUAUUCAUAAGAAGCAUAUUAAGAUGAUUUUAAAAUAUAGGAUCUUUCUAUAUAUAUAAAUUUUAGUCUCCCACUAAUAAUGUAAGUGUACAUGAUAUCCUGCAAGUUCUAUUAGAUUUAUGCAAACCUACGAAGGGCGGCACAAUUAUUGAAUUGUGUCUUUCUCAUUGAAAAUACUGCACUCAUAAUGAAACAAGCAGAAACGUGACCUGUAACUGAAUAUUUCAACAUGACAAAAGUGAAUUGCAAUGGAAAAUAAUGCUGCUUGUAUCUUUAUUGUUUUCAUAUUUCAGAUAUAUUUUGUGGUUUGUGAUGUAUCAGGGUGCUAUACUUCAGGGCUAUAAAAGCCAUAACCAUGUGAAAUAGAUAUAUUGUGCUAUGGAAGUAGCUCUUUGGAGCAACAGCAAAACUCUGUUUAUUAACUUUGGAUGAGUGUGUAAACCAAAUAAAACACAUCAGAAUUGCUUAAUGAAAUAUCUGAGUGACUGAGUAAAAUCUAGGUCACAUUUAUAUAAAAAAGGCAAAGCAAAACAAAUGUAACAUUUCCUCAAGCAACACACUAGAAUAUCCAGUGCAUGUUGCAACUGUGUCUGCAAUGUUAUUUAAAAAAACAGAUUAUUCCCACUUAUUUCAGCUUACGUUAAUCAAGAGACAUAACACUGUAUCUGAUUGACAAAGCAACUGCUUGCGGGUACAAAGCAUGGAACAUCAAAUUUAUGGCAUUCGGCACUCAGCCAUGACAGCUUUACUGCGAGGGAUAGAUGACUAUAUAACUUUUGACUAAGUUAAUAAUAUCUCAUAUGCUGAAAUGUAUCAAUAUUUUUCUCUAUUGCAACAGGCACAAGAAUGAGUUAUCUAUAAAAACACCACAGUAGAUAUUUUACAAGUUGAUACCAAACAGAUAUGCAGAAACCCCUACAAAACUUUUAGUCUCUAUAACCACUGUUUGUGGACUACUGCAGAUACAACACCUGAAACAGCUUGCUUGCUCGUUUAUUUAUUCAUGUCAAACUUCCUAUUGUACGUUAAGAAUUAAAUUGACACUGAUAUUUACUGUCCUUACGCCUAUCCAUACCUUAGUCCCCCCCUUAAGUAAAAUCAAGAGAUGCUUAUCAGCUUGGAUAAAGAUGGUUAGCAGUAGUUAGCAUUGAUUAUCAUGAAUGAUGGUGUCAACUGACUAUUUGACUAUACUUAAAACUAAUGUGAUGUUGCAGCAAAGAAGUGACUAUUACUUUAGACUGCAUUAAAUAGAAGCAUAGUUUCCAAAUUAAUGGAAGGAACACUCCCAGGAUAUUCUGCUAUGGUCAGGCAGCAUUUGGUAUACUACAUUCCGUUUUUGUCCAUUCUGCUAUAGACAAGCUGAGGCAGGUUUAGAGAAGAGCAACAAGGAUGGUAAGAGGUCUGGAAAUUAAAACAUAUAAGGAAAGUUGAAGCAACUGAGCAUGUUCAGCUUAGUGACGAGAAGACUAUGGGAUAACAUGCCCAAAAACAGGCCCAAAAGAGCUGUUAUUAAAAUACUUCCUUCUGUUUUGAAAGCAUAUGGCACUUUAUCACUGCUACUCAUUUCCAUGAUACAGCACUUUAUGAAACCUGUCCCCACUGGGUUGCUUUUAAUUACUCUGAUUUUAUCUGUUUGGAUUUUAAUGUAUUUGUCUAUUAUUUUAUUUUGUGUAUUGUUGGAAUGUAUUAAGUUUAUGUUAAAUAUGUUGUUGUUGUUCGGGCUUGUCCCUGUUGUGAGCCGCCCUGAGUCCCUUCGGGGAGAUGGGGCGGGAUAUAAAAAUAAAGAUUAUUAUUAUUAUUAUUAUUAUUAUUAUUAUUAUUAUUAUUAUUAUUAUUAUUAUUAUUAUUAUAACAUGAUUGCAACCUUUAUUGGCUGUCAUAGAAAGGCCUGUGUUCUGCUGUCCCAAAGGGCAGGGACCAGAUCUAAUGGUUUGAAGUUGCAGGAGAGUAGAUUUCAUUUGAAUAUCAGAAAGAACGUCUUGACAGUAAAAGCAGUUCAGGAAUGGAAUCAAUUGCCUAGAGAGGCGGUGGGGUCUCCUCUAGACAUUCUUGAUAUGCUUUGGGUCUCAUCAAGUGAGAAAAGUGGGAUAAUAAUAAUAGAUAUCUUGAUAGCUACCUGUUGGGUGUGUUUUAUGUGGAGAUCCUGCAUUGAGCAGGGGAUUGAAUUCACAAAGCCAUGAGGCUCCUUCUAACUUGAUGGGCCUGGAAGGAUUUCUGCAUAGAAAGAGAGAAAUAGGAGAUAUUCUCUCUCAAUUUCUAAGCCAGGUUAAUGGACUGUAUUAAAAUGUUAAACCUAAAGUCCAUUAACUUCACUUAACAAAAUACUAGCUUUGUAUAUAUGUACAGUAUACCUCAAAGUAGCCCCCAUGUCAGUCCAAAAAGCCAGUCAGUCCAAAAAUACUUUCUGAAUGUUACAUUUCUGAAUGUUUACUCAUAUACUUGUAUGGACUCACUCCUAUAAGCUCAGUUCCUUCAACUAUAGAAUCAACAAUUAUUUCUAACAUAUACAAAACAUUGUA